GUGACCCGGAAUAUAAGGGGGAUCGCGGGUGUCUAAGACACUCACAACCCACCUGAAGAAAUAGGAGUGAGGUGGCAGGAGUGCCACCCCUCCUAUCCCUGCUAUUGGUGGUCUAGAUGCGACCACCAAUAGCAGAUCGGGGGCGGGGGGUUAACUUUCGUUUCCCCCGUCCUGCCCACCCACAAUAGGUGGGGUAGGACGGGGAAACGAUGGAGGACCGGCGCCCGAGUCCACUUACCGAUCUGCGGAGGCUGCGGGCGACGAUCGAGUUCGGAGAUCGGCGGGCAGCAAUGUCUUGCAGCAGGCUCCCUGGAUCCGACGGAAGCCGCCAAUCAGAAAGCAGCAUGACUCAAAUAGAACUCCCGUGAGGUCACACAUGUGAUGUCAUCACCACUGUCAUCAGUGAGGGGCCUAAACUGUAGGAACCUAGGAAUGCAACUUCAUACCCGCCUGUGACUGAUGCACACUUUCCAGGCUGUGGGGCAGCACAUACACUGACACAUUGGCCCAAAUUCUAGAGGUAACCUCCUUUAGUAUGCCCAGAGGAAGGGCAGUACAGUAGCCAUGGAUUCCCUACAGGUUUCCUCCCCUCUGGAGGUUUUUCCUGUCUUGAGUUAGUUACUGUCCGCUCUUUGUGAGUGAUGGAGGUUACAUAAAAUCCCUACACAAACAUUUUAAUAAAUAAUAAAUAAAGUUUCCCUUUUUUUAAACUGUUCUUUGACUUGUUCGACUCAUUUAUUUUAUUUGUGUGUGUGAAAAAUAGUGUUAGCAAAAUGUGGAUGACAGAAGUGUCCAAAACUGCUCUCCUGCAGGAUCUGCACCAUGUGAUGAGCCAAUCAGAAAGCAGCAUGACUCAAAUAGAACUCCCGUGAGGUCACACAUGUGAUGUCAUCACCACUGUCAUCAGUGAGGGGCCUAAACUGUAGGAACCUAGGAAUGCAACUUCAUACCCGCCUGUGACUGAUGCACACUUUCCAGGCUGUGGGGCAGCACAUACACUGACACUUUGGCCCAAAUUCUAGAGGUAACCUCCUUUAGUAUGCCCAGAGGAAGGGCAGUACAGUAGCCAUGGAUUCCCUACAGGUUUCCUCCCCUCUGGAGGUUUUUCCUGUCCUGAGUUAGUUACUGUCCGCUCUUUGUGAGUGAUGGAGGUUACAUAAAAUCCCUACACAAACAUUUUAAUAAAUAAUAAAUAAAGUUCCUCUUUUUUAAACUGU